rnacentral:rRNA from 1 species
GCUGACGAGUGGCGAACGGGUGAGUAAUAUAUCGGAACGUGCCCAGUCGUGGGGGAUAACGUAGAGAAAUUUACGCUAAUACCGCAUACGAUCUAAGGAUGAAAGCGGGGGACCUUCGGGCCUCGCGCGAUUGGAGCGGCUGAUAUCAGAUUAGGUUGUUGGUGAGGUAAAAGCUCACCAAGCCGACGAUCUGUAGCUGGUUUGAGAGAACGACCAGCCACACUGGGACUGAGACACGGCCCAGACUCCUACGGGAGGCAGCAGUGGGGAAUUUUGGACAAUGGGCGAAAGCCUGAUCCAGCAAUGCCGCGUGCAGGAAGAAGGCCUUCGGGUUGUAAACUGCUUUUGUACGGAACGAAAAGGUCUGCCCUAAUACGGCGGGCCCAUGACGGUACCGUAAGAAUAAGCACCGGCUAACUACGUGCCAGCAGCCGCGGUAAU